rnacentral:tRNA from 1 species
AUGUGGCAGAAUAGUGCAGUAAAUUUAAGAUUUACUUAAAAAGUAAACCUUUCUUUAGAA